UAGUCCACGCCGUAAACGAUGAUAACUAGCUGUCCGAACCCACAGGGUUUGGGUGGCGCAGCUAACGCAUUAAGUUAUCCGCCUGGGGAGUACGGUCGCAAGAUUAAAACUCAAAGGAAUUGACGGGGGCCUGCACAAGCGGUGGAGCAUGUGGUUUAAUUCGAUGAUACGCGAGGAACCUUACCUAGGCUCGAACGCUACAAGACAGGAACUGAAAGGUUUUUUCCCUUCGGGGUUUGUAGUGAGGUGCUGCAUGGUUGUCGUCAGCUCGUGCCGUGAGGUGUUGGGUUAAGUCCCGCAACGAGCGCAACCCUUAUUCUUAGUUGCCAGCACAUAAUGGUGGGGACUCUAGGAAGACUGCCGGCGUAAGCCGUGAGGAAGGUGGGGACGACGUCAAAUCAUCAUGGCCUUUAUGCCUAGGGCUACACACGUGCUACAAUGGUGCAUACAGCGGGUAGCGAAAUCGCGAGGUGGAGCUAAUCUUGUAAAGUGCAUCCCAGUUCGGAUCGGAGUCUGGAA
rnacentral:rRNA from 1 species